AACUUCCCCUUAAAAACGGGAAUUACAAGAACUUUUACGCAAUUGACGCUUAUUCUCAGAGAUCCGUGGGAAAAAACGAAUCGAAAUUGUCUCUUGGAAAACGUUUUCUAUUUGUAAACUCCUGUAUCUCGAAAUGCACGAUUCUUAACUCGAUUGGAAAAUGUACAUUUUUCGAGGCAUAGAUACCAGUUCGCCGUGGUCUUGUUAGUUUUCUUGGGAAUCGUGGAUUUUCGAAAUGUCUGCCAACACUUGGCUGAUUUAAGACUUGGAACUUAUCCGACACGAGACACGCGAAAUUCAUGGCACGUGGUAAUGAACGUAUCGUACAACUUUGUAAAAAAUGUUUACUCGAGGCAACAAACUCUACGACUUCCUCGACGAUCCAAACAUUAAGUGGACACGACUCUGUACCGAUGGACAUGAGUGCCGAGAUCCUCCCUGGAUAUAGCGCUGGUUGCAUGCUCCACGUUCAAUCGAUGCCAGAAUCACGGGUACGCGAGUUCGAAGCGAGGACCAAUUUGUUAGGAGGCUGCUAGUUGACUGGACCAUACUAGGAUACACUUCGAAACGAGUCUAG